AUCGAACGCUGGCGGCAUGCCUUACACAUGCAAGUCGAACGGCAGCACGGGAGCAAUCCUGGUGGCGAGUGGCGAACGGGUGAGUAAAGUAUCGGAACGUGCCCAGUCGUGGGGGAUAACGUAGCGAAAGUUACGCUAAUACCGCAUACGAUCUAUGGAUGAAAGCGGGGGAUCGCAAGACCUCGCGCGAUUGGAGCGGCCGAUAUCAGAUUAGGUAGUUGGUGGGGUAAAGGCUCACCAAGCCGACGAUCUGUAGCUGGUCUGAGAGGACGACCAGCCACACUGGGACUGAGACACGGCCCAGACUCCUACGGGAGGCAGCAGUGGGGAAUUUCGGACAAUGGGCGCAAGCCUGAUCCAGCCAUGCCGCGUGCAGGAUGAAGGCCUUCGGGUUGUAAACUGCUUUUGUACGGAACGAAAAGGUUUGGCCUAAUAAGCUGAGCUCAUGACGGUACCGUAAGAAUAAGCACCGGCUAACUACGUG
rnacentral:rRNA from 1 species